rnacentral:lncRNA from 1 species
CACGGCAACGGCUGCGGCACGGCAACGGCUGGGGCACGGCAACGGCUGGUGCAUGUUGCCGGCGGAGGCAUUUAGGUAGUGCACGACGGCUGGGCGCCGGGCCUGUUUGGCUGUGACGCCCACCCCCGGCUUUCAUCCGCCUAUGCCCUAGGGCUAGUGGAAGACUUAAGAUGGCGGCGUUUGCACGGAGUGCAAUCACUGCGUCCUUACGGGGGUUGCAAGGCGUCCGAAGUAUGAGUCCACUAACAAAAGUCCAGAAACUCGCCAGUUAAUAGUAUUGUGUCUCUUCAAAAUAUCGGAGAAUAAUUUCUUUCUCGCUGAUCGCCUAACUUCUACUGACGAAGCUUGGAAGUUGCAGAAGGUUGGAGUGCAAUGGCGCGAUCUCGGCUGACUGCAACCUCCACCUCCUGGAUUCAAGCUAUUCUCCUGCCUCAGCCUGCCGAGUAGCUGGGAUUACAGGCAUGUGCCACCGCACCCAGCUAAUUUUGUAUUUUUUAGUAGAGAUGGGGUUUCUCCAUGUUGGUCAGGCUGGUCUUGAACUCCUGACCUCAGGUGAUCCGCCCACCUCAGCCUCCCAAAGUGCUGGGAUUACAGGCGUGAGCCACCGCGCCCGGCCAGAACAUUAGUUUUAAACUUCCUAACCCUUGGGAGAAGGCAAAACACUUGAUGAAAUCUACAUAAAGACUAAAACAUUUUACCAAUUUUGCAUUGUUUGUUUGAAAUUGCAUUGACGACUGAUGGAGUUCGCUCUUGUUGCCCAGGCUGGAAUGCAAUGGCAUGACCUUGGCUCACUGCAACCUCUGCCUCCCCAGUUCAAGUGGUUCUCCUGCCUCAGCCUCCCGAGUAGCUGAGAUUACAGAUUCUCCUCUGUGAUACGUGGACAUUGCCAUCCCAUGCAACAACAAGGGAGCUCACUCAGUGGGUUUGAUGUGGUGGAUGCUGGCUCGGGAAGUUCUGCGCAUGCGUGGCACCAUUUCCCGUGAACACCCGUGGGAGUUCAUGCCUGAUCUCUACUUCUACAGAGAUCCUGAAGAGAUUGCAAAAGAAGAGCAGGCUGCUGCUGAAAAGUGACCAAGGAGGAAUCCUGUAAUUUGCAAUAACAUGAAUAAAUUUUGAAGACAGCAUUUUAACUGUAAUAAGCUAGAUACUGAAUGACUAAUGCUGUAUUAUCUUACUCAAAUGGAUACUAAGAAAAUAAAAAUUUGAUAUCCUAAGGUCAGAGAGUAGAACUGUGGUUACAAUAGACAGGGGAGGGGCCUUUGAUUUGGCCAUUAGGUACAAAGUGACAAUUAGAGAAGACUAGUAAAUUAUUCUGUUCUUUCACACACUAUCAUGACUAUGGUUAAAUGUAAAAUACUGUAUAUUUCAAAAGAGUUAGAAUAGACACUUUUCAAUGUUUUCACCACUAAGAAAUGAUAACUGCAUGUGAUUGGAUUAAUAUGCAACCUAAAUACAUACGAAAACAUCACACUAAAUUCAAUAAAUAUAUGCAAUUAUAAUUUUGAGAUAAUGAAAAAGAAAAAUUAAAAAAUUAUGACAAGCAGAGGCCAAUAUCUAUGAUGAACAUAGACACACAAAUGCUCUACAACAAACUAGCAACCUGAAUUCAACACUGCAUUAAACAUUUUAUUUUUCAUAAUCAAGCGGUAUUCAUCCCAGUGAUGCAAAAAUGAUUGUAUAUAUGGAAAUUAAUGUUAUGCAUUACACUAAGAGAACAAAGGAUUAAAACCAUAUGAUCAUCUCAGUCAAUAUCAUAAAAGCAUUUGAGAAUAUUUAUAAUUUUUUCAUGGUAACAACUCAAACAUUUAGGCAAAGAAUUGGGUCUCCCUAUUCCCUGAGACAGAACCACACUGAAAAUAGGACAAACAGUAACCCUGAAAUGGCCUCUAACAAUGAUUGAACUUAGUGAGGAAGGAAUGUUGAAGGCUGAGUGGCUGAAAUCUAGGCCACUAGUGCAAUAAAUCCCAUGAUUUUAAAACCUAGAGCUAACAUGUUAUUCAGAGGGGAAAACAUAAAAGCUUUUCCUCAAAUAAAAAACACAUCACAAA